GAUCCUGGCUCAGGAUGAACGCUAGCUACAGGCUUAACACAUGCAAGUCGAGGGGCAGCGGGAUUGAAGCUUGCUUCAAUUGCCGGCGACCGGCGCACGGGUGAGUAACGCGUAUCCAACCUUCCGUACACUCAGGGAUAGCCCUUCGAAAGAAAGAUUAAUACCCGAUGGUAUGAUGAGAUUGCAUGAUAGCAUCAUUAAAGAUUUAUCGGUGUACGAUGGGGAUGCG
rnacentral:rRNA from 1 species